rnacentral:rRNA from 1 species
UACAGAGGGGGCAAGCGUUGUUCGGAAUUACUGGGCGUAAAGGGCGCGUAGGCGGCCUUCUAAGUCGAACGUGAAAUCCCCGGGCUCAACCCGGGAACUGCGUCCGAUACUGGAAGGCUUGAAUCCGGGAGAGGGAUGCGGAAUUCCAGGUGUAGCGGUGAAAUGGGUAGAUAUCUGGAGGAACACCGGUGGCGAAGGCGGCAUCCUGGACCGGCAUUGACGCUGAGGCGCGAAAGCUAGGGUAGCAAACGGG